CAGCACCUCAAGCGGUCAGGAUGAUUAUUGGGCCUAAAGCAUCCGUAGCCGGCUCUGUAAGUUUUCGGUUAAAUCUGUACGCUCAACGUACAGGCUGCCGGGAAUACUGCAGAGCUAGGGAGUGGGAGAGGUAGACGGUACUCGGUAGGAAGGGGUAAAAUCCUUUGAUCUAUUGAUGACCACCUGUGGCGAAGGCGGUCUACCAGAACACGUCCGACGGUGAGGGAUGAAAGCUGGGGGAGCAAACCGGAUUAGAUACCCGUGUAGUCC
rnacentral:rRNA from 1 species